GGGACCAUAGCUCAGCUGGGAGAGCACCUGCCUUACAAGCAGGGGGUCACAGGUUCGAGCCCUGUUGGUACCACCA
rnacentral:tRNA from 1 species